UUGGAGGGCAAGUCUGGUGCCAGCAGCCGCGGUAAUUCCAGCUCCAAUAGCGUAUAUUAAAGUUGUUGCAGUUAAAAAGCUCGUAGUUGAAUUUCGGGGUCAGCAGGUUGGUCGUGCCAAUGGUAUGCACUGGCCUUGCUGAUUCCUCCUUCUUGAUGAGCCGUAAUGCCAUUAAUUUGGUGUUGCGGGGAAUCAGGACUGUUACUUUGAAAAAAUUAGAGUGUUUAAAGCAGGCAAGCGCUUGAAUACAUUAGCAUGGAAUAAUGAAAUAGGACGUUCGAUCCUAUUUUGUUGGUUUCUAGGAUUGACGUAAUGAUUAAUAGGGAUAGUUGGGGGCAUUAGUAUUCAAUUGUCAGAGGUGAAAUUCUUGGAUUUAUUGAAGACUAACUACUGCGAAAGCAUUUGCCAAGGAUGUUUUCAUUAAUCAAGAACGAAAGUUAGGGGAUCGAAGACGAUCAGAUACCGUCGUAGUCUUAACCAUAAACUAUGCCGACUAGGGAUCGGAUGAUGUUAAUUUUUUAAUGACUCAUUCGGCGCCUUACGGGAAAC
rnacentral:rRNA from 1 species